UCGUUCUUCUACUCUUUAACCACUCAUGGUCUCCUGUCAAUCGUGAUCUGAGUGGUGCACCAUAUUCAUCUUCGUUGCAGUGUCAACUGUAAUGACAGUCAUUUUGGCAGUUGUAAUCUCUACUUAGCCUACCAACGGACACAGACAUGUACCUCAACACAAUUUCUGUUGAAUUGCCAACUCUUAGCUGUCUGCUGCCUAUUUGCUGGCCCUACAGUCUUUCUAGCCUUCGGACAGCAGAAAACAAAGCCUUCUUCAUCUUCGCCACGCCCGUCAUCCCGUCUUCGCUUCGCCCGUCGUCC